rnacentral:rRNA from 1 species
AUAUGAAUAUACCGGUUCUCGUUAGAUCACCGAAGUUAAGCAUCAUUGGGCGCGGUCAGUACUUGGGUGGGUGACCACCUGGGAACACCGCGUGCCGUU